UUCUGGGGAUUAGAUUUUCUUUUGAAAUUUAAUGGAUCUGGCGGUUUUUAAAUCUUUUUAGAGGAACCUGUGAUUUAAAUGAUAGUCCACGAUUUUUUUUACCUUAAUUUUUUUGUAUACCUCUGUCGUUGAAUGUAGUGGAAGUUAAUUUUCUUAUUUUUUUAUAGAUUUUAUGUUAGGUCAAGGUGCAGUUAUAUUGGGGUUAUUAUGGGUUACAUUAAUUUUAGUUUGUGGAUUUUCUUUUUUUAUUGAGUUGAAUUUGGAUUUAAAAGUAAUUUUUUUUCUUAAAUUUUUUGAAUUUUGCUCUUAAUUAUGU
rnacentral:rRNA from 1 species